rnacentral:rRNA from 1 species
CCUACGGGUGGCACCAGCGGGGAAUCUUGCGCAAUGGUCGAAAGACUGACGCAGCCAUGCCGCGUGAAUGAUGAAGGUCUUAGGAUUGUAAAAUUCUUUCAGCAGGGACGAUAAUGACGGUACCUGCAGAAGAAGCCCCGGCUAACUUCGUGCCAGCAGCCGCGGUAAUACGAAGGGGGCUAGCGUUGCUCGGAAUUACUGGGCGUAAAGGGAGCGUAGGCGGGUUAUCAAGUUGGAGGUGAAAGCCCAGGGCUCAACCUUGGAAUUGCCUUCAAAACUGAUAGCCUAGAGUAUGAUAGAGGUAAGUGGAACUCCGAGUGUAGAGGUGAAAUUCGUAGAUAUUCGGAAGAACACCAGUGGCGAAGGCGACUUACUGGAUCAUGACUGACGCUGAGGCUCGAAAGCGUGGGGAGCAAACAGGAUUAGAUACCCUAGUAGUC